AUUGAACGCUGGCGGCAUGCUUUACACAUGCAAGUCGAGCGGCAGCGCGGGGGCAACCCUGGCGGCGAGCGGCGAACGGGUGAGUAAUGCAUCGGAACGUAUCCUCGAGUGGGGGAUAACCCAGCGAAAGUUGGGCUAAUACCGCAUGAGCUCUGAGGAGGAAAGCGGGGGACCUGCGAGGGCCUCGCGCUGGAGGAGCGGCCGAUGUCCGAUUAGCUAGUUGGUGGGGUAAAGGCUUACCAAGGCGACGAUCGGUAGCUGGUCUGAGAGGAUGAUCAGCCACACUGGGAGUGAGACGCGCCCCAGACCCCUGCGGGAGGCGGCGUGGGGGAAUUUUGGAGAAGGGGGGAACCCUGGACCAAGCAAGCCGGGGUGAGGAAAGAGGCCCUUGGGUUUGUAAAGCUUUUUGGGAGGGACGGAAAGGGGGGGCACUAAUACCCCGGUGUGAGGAGGGUACGGAAAGAAGAGGCACCGGCUAACUACGUG
rnacentral:rRNA from 1 species